rnacentral:lncRNA from 1 species
AGACGUUCAUCCUCAACACUGUCUAUAGCAAGGUGCCAUGGUUUAAAAAGACGCUCUCUAUAUCAAGACAUUGUACCUCUUGGCUUGCAGGUGGAUGCUAAGGGCUACAACCCGACCUGGGAAGCCAUCGGCUAUGCGGGACCGGAUCCAAACUCCAUGAAAGCAACGUUGCCUCCAAAGCCGUCAGCUCUCAAGUCCGCCGUCUUCGACGUCAGAGAGCACCCCGACCUGCGAGGAGUCCUCAAGCACACGGGUUACACUCUACUGGAUGACAUAUCUCACCUCAAGCCGGCGCUCCUGCCUUCCAACAAGCUCGAGGACGGAGAGGACGUGAUUGGCAUCAAAUGCGACGUGAUCAUUGUUGGAGCUGGCAGCGGAGGAAGCGUUCCAGCUCAGGUCCUGUCCACUGCCGGCCUCAAAGUUUUGCUGCUGGAAAAAGGCCGCUACUUUGCGAGAGAAGAUCUGUCCCUGCUCGAGCAACCGACUUUCAGCGAGCUCUACGAAGAAGGCGGAUUUCUGGCAACUGACGACGUUGCUUACUCGCUCAUGUCCGCUGCGGUGGUGGGAGGCGGAACUUGCAUCAACUGGGCGGCAUCCUUCCAGACUCCGCCUCACGUCCGCCAGGAAUGGGCCGAGGAGUGUGGACUUCCCAUGUUUACCAGCGAAAAGUACCAGCAAGCUCUGGAUCUCAUCUGCAAGAAGAUCGGUGUUCAGCCCAAUGCAACAGUGGAAAGCUUCCAGAAUGCAGUCCUGCGCAAGGGAUGCGUGGAGCUUGGCCUCCACAGCGCAAAUAUACCGAGAAACGCGAGCCCGGAACACUAUUGCGGCUGCUGUAACAUGGGAUGCCGACGGGGUAUGAAGCAAGCGACCACCGAGACUUGGCUGGUGGAAGCAGCGGCAGCGGGAGCGACCAUCCUCACGGGAACAAAAGGCUUGCAAGUGCUAUUCACGGACGGGACCAAGAAGGAGAAGAAAGCCAUCGGUGUGUUGGCCACCACCUUGGGUGACCAGCCAAAGAAGUUGAUCAUCGAGGCCAAAGCGACCAUCGUGUCCACCGGCUCUAUCAUGACACCACCGCUGCUCAUCAGGAGUGGACUCACGAAUCCAAACAUUGGGAAACACUUCCACAUCCAUCCGGUGCUGGGAGUGUGGGGAUACUUCCCGGACGAGGAGAAGAACCCGGGAGCUAGCUUCGAAGGAGGGAUCAUGACGGCCUUUAGCGCGGUGAGCGCACGCUGGGACACAGUCGGCUAUGGUCCGGUGCUCAUGACACCGAGCUUCCACCCCGGACAGUACGCUUCGGUGGUAACUUGGAAAUCUGGAGCUCAGCACAAGGAGGCAAUGCGGAGGUUCAGACGAGUCUCUCAGGUGGUGCUCUUCACUCGUGACAAAGGAGCUGGGAGUAUCGGAGUGGACAAGAAGACGGACGAGAUCACGAUCGAGUAUACUCUAGAUCCAUACGACGAGGAGGUUUGCCUGGAGGGAGCGGAGAAAGGACUUCGCGUGCUCAAGGCAGCGGGGGCAGUGGAAGUCGGGACGCACCACCACGACGCUGAAAGCUUCACGUUUGGCAAGUCGACAAGCUGGAAAGAAGAGAAGAAGCGAUUCGAGGAGUACCUUGCGAGCGUGAGAAGCAAAGGGCUCAAGCCCAACCGGCUGCCAAUGGUAUCGUAUCACUUGCUGGGAUCGUGCCGGAUGGGAUCCAGCCCCGAGAACUCGGUGAUUGAUGCCAAAGGCGAGACUUGGGAUGCUGAAGGCCUCUUCCUCACGGACGCCAGCGUCUUUCCCACACCCACUGGUCUCAACCCCAUGGUCACUAUCCAGUCCAUCGCCUACUGCACUGCACAGAACGUUGUGGAGCAUGUCAAGUCGUCCAAGUGAAAGAGCAGAGCUCUAAGCUCUAAGCAAAAUCAUACCAGAGUUUGUAUUGUUUGUGAAGUACUGUGAUGGAAUAAGAACAGCGACGUAUGC